rnacentral:sRNA from 1 species
CCUGGGCGUGGUGACGCACACCUGUAAUCCCAGCAGCUGGGGAGGCUGAGGCAGGAGGAUCGAGAGUUCAAAGCCAGCCUCAGCAACUCAGGGAGACCCUGUCUCUA